rnacentral:rRNA from 1 species
AUUGAACGCUGGCGGCAGGCCUAACACAUGCAAGUCGAGCGGAUGAAGGGAGCUUGCUCCUGGAUUCAGCGGCGGACGGGUGAGUAAUGCCUAGGAAUCUGCCUGGUAGUGGGGGAUAACGUCCGGAAACGGGCGCUAAUACCGCAUACGUCCUGAGGGAGAAAGUGGGGGAUCUUCGGACCUCACGCUAUCAGAUGAGCCUAGGUCGGAUUAGCUAGUUGGUGGGGUAAAGGCCUACCAAGGCGACGAUCCGUAACUGGUCUGAGAGGAUGAUCAGUCACACUGGAACUGAGACACGGUCCAGACUCCUACGGGAGGCAGCAGUGGGGAAUAUUGGACAAUGGGCGAAAGCCUGAUCCAGCCAUGCCGCGUGUGUGAAGAAGGUCUUCGGAUUGUAUAGCACUUUAAGUUGGGAGGAAGGGCAGUAAGUUAAUACCUUGCUGUUUUGACGUGACCAACAGAAUAAGCACCGGCUAACUUCGU